UCCUACAACUUUUCUAAUAAAAAAAUAAAGUUUUUUUUUAAAGUUAAAAAACAAUUAACAAUUAAAAAAAAAAAAAAAAACAACGAAAACACCACCAAAACUAUAAUCCGUGGUAUACAGAAAAUACACAGCAUUUGGGAACCACCGGCUUGUUUGGAGAGCUCCUCAAACCCAGGUCAGGAGGCAAGAGUCUCCUUGGGGUGCCCUUCAACGAGCUGCGCUGCAGCACUGUCACCUUCCGAAACCCUGGGACGACUGGGGACUGUGCUGGAGGAUGACAGAGAGACCUGUGGCGCCUUGGGCUGCGGACGGACUGAAGGCCAGGCGUCCCCUCCCACUGAUGACCCACCUCAGCCCCGGCCCCCUGAAUGCCAGGACUCCGCCCUGGACAUUUCCCAAACGCAAAAGUUGAGCCCUAACCGGCCAUCCGCCCCAGACCCGGCCCCACCGGCCCUAACAGCCACCAGGUUAAGGCUGGCGUGAGGGUGCGGGUGGGGGGAGUCUCACACCUCCAUUAAUCCCCCCCCUCCCACCCGGUGAGCCGCCUCGGCCUGCCUCCCCCUUCCAGUCCUCCCCACGUAGCCUGGCGCUGUCGGGGUGUCCCGGGUCCCCAGGACAGGGUCUCCAGCGCGGUGGGCCCCCUUCGUGAGGGAGACGGGCCGGCGAGCCCCGGGGUCCUCCCCCGCCCCUUGGGUCCCCCAAGCGUGGGUCCCAGAGCUGCCGUUGGCCCCGGAGGUCCAGGCAGGG
rnacentral:lncRNA from 1 species